CGUCCUAUAUUGUAAUAACUAUAAUUGAAUUUGAAAUUAAAACAACGGAUUUAAAGUAUGAACCAAAUUAAGUAAUCCCAAUAUGAAAUUUUGUAGCUGGCUGCCAAAUUCAAUUUCCAAGUAAAAAGAGGCGAAUAACAAAAGGACGAGCAAAGUGCCUUUGACAGAAAACGUGGAAGGCCAUUGGGAAGAGGCAGAGUUCCACUUUCAGCCGAGGAGAGGCGCGCGCGAAACGCCCAAUAUGAAAGAGAACGGCGCAUCGAAACAGCCGAAGCUAUAGCAAGCUUAGCAGCCGCUUUAGGAUGUCUACCCAAUGCAUCGAACGCGGAAAUCAUAGCCACAGCCAUCCAGAAACUACGCAAAAUGCAAGAAAAUGAAGACCCGUCCGAUGAUGUGGCACUUAUGAAACAACGCAACGCGAAGUUAAUGGCACAAAUCGAUGAGGUAGAGGAGCGGCUCCAGUCUGAUAAAAGUGCCGAAGCUCAACCAAAAAGGCAAAUAAAAACCGGCGGCAUCAAGAAACAAUACAAAUCCAGUAAGGACAAGAAGAACACGAAAAGUGUUCUGCGUCUGGCGAAUAGGUCUGCACAAAUCGGCUUUGCUAUUGUUGGCAAUCACUUCAGCGAUGAGGACGAGCAGGUGCCGAAAACCGAGGAUGCAGCAGAGGAUCGAGUGGAUUCACUUGCAUUUGCUGCCAUUACGGACUGCCCAAUGGAUUGGGGUAUUGAUAACUGUAUAGCUGAUUACUUGCUUUAGAUUAAUUUGGAAUUCGAGUUGUCUAUUUGAACUGAACUAUAGAAAGAGGGGUGAAGGCUUUUGCAUCCCCGUGCAUUAGUUUUUUUUGUUUUUUAUCAUUAUCAUAACACCUGAUAGUGCAAUAAUUUUGUGCAACAUUCCUAAUGUCGACGAACUUUAAAAGUUACUUCGUAAAAGUUUGCACUUUAGACAUUUUUUUUUCUAUUGCAUGUCGUUUCACUUCAGUUUCAAUAAACCGUUUCACUACUCGUUUUGUAUUUCUUAAUUAUUGAGCAAUA